CGAGAAUAGAAUUGCAGGUUGGUAGUCCCUGCGCCCGUCCCAGUGGGUUCUUCAACGCCG
rnacentral:ncRNA from 1 species